CGUCAGCGUUCUGCAGCUCAGAAGUGGGCUCUCACCAAAACCCAAACACACUGGGAGCCUGAUCUCACUUCCAGCCUCCACAACUGUGAGAAAUACAUUGCUGUUGUUUAUAAGCCACUCAGUCCAUGCUAGUUUGAUACAGCAGCCCGAACUAAGACCCUAGUGAUCCAUUAAAUGCAUGCAGAGAAGAGAAGACCAAGGACUAAGCAAGCGCUCCAAAAACAAGAGAUUGGGAAGAGGAAAUCAACCAGGGACACCGAGAAGGAACAACCAACAAGUGAUUCCUCAGGACAGAACAUCCUGCCUACUCCGUUAUAGUCAGCUUCAAGCCAUUUCCCACUGUUGUUUGGUGCUUGAUGAGUUUUUUGGAGAUUGAAUGACAGCUUUCAUCCCAGUUGAAAUCCCUAUUUAUGUCCAGAAAAAAGUGUUAGCUCCAAAAUUCACCUGAAGACUCGACUGCAUCAUUAAUACCGAGUGGACCACAAGCACGUGUCAGAGACGGUAUUCCCAGUCGGACCACAGCAUCCCGAUGCCAACCCCAAAAGAAAAGACAAAGAAAAGGAGCAGUAAUUCUGGAGCUCGAUGGGCUCUCCUUUUGGGCAAUAAUUCAAGCUGCUAUAUGUAGAGGCUUUGUAAUUCCUUGACUUGAAAAGUUAGUCCUACAAAGUGAAAGUGCAUGGCAUAAAACAUGCCUUAGAUGAUGGAGUAAACCUUUGUCUCGAAAAUUCUGGAGUUAUCAAAGGCAGAAGCAGGGCAACAUUCUCACUGAAAUGAUGAGUGUCUCUUUUGGCAAUUCUCCUAGUGGGCUUUGCUGACGGUUGAGGUGGGGGAGGAGCAGGCUUGGAGGUCCCUGGAGAAAUCCAGAAGGGACCCCUGAGAAAGAAAUAAAUGCAAUAAAACAAAAAUCUAAAAAACUCAGUGACUGCCCACACCCGGGAUUGGGUCCUGGCAGCAGGCUCAGCACAAGCCAGACCCCUCUGUGGAAAGUUGGCUGAACCUUGCCCUCUGGGUGCAAGGAAAAGCGUCUCUCCUGCCAGGAAUGCUGUAUAAACAUCCUUUUCCUACAGGAUCCUGUGGCUUGGGGGUCCAGGGGAGCGCCAGGAAAGUAUCCUAAUAGAGACAGAUUUUGAACUCCUGCUGUCUCUUUUCAGAUCAUAAAUUACUGUUAAUUCUGUUUAUACUCUCCCCCUUUCCCCUCUUAAUAGUUUUAGAAAAGUAAUUGACGACAAAGUGGAGCCCACAAAGGGUGUAUGUGAGGGAGCCCUGCUCCCCUGGCUGAGAAACGGACAAGUGUUUCCUCAUCCUGCACUUCCCAGCAAAAAAAGUUAAAUAUUUAUGUACCACAGGUGCCCUUCCUUGCCCUUCCCGCAUACCCUCUUGUGGCUUUACUGUUCAGGAGAAGGACUAGAGCUUCAAGUGCUACUUAAUGGGAAAGGUUGGUUGGUUUGCUUGCCUGCUUGCCUUCCUCGCCUCCUCCAGAACCGGGAGGCUGUACUAGUGCUAUGUGGGCUUUGGGGGGUGGGGAGCAAGCUGCUCAGAAGUAGCCCCCGGAUCUAGUGGUUUCUCCUUGCUCAGGCACCAUCUUGCUUCAUAGCAUAAAGCCCCCAGGGGUAUUUGCUGAAGCCAGUUCCAGGGUGAGGAAUAUGCCCAAGCUUGAAAUUGGUCGGGUCUGGGUUUAAAUCCUAGGUCAGCCUGUUCAUUGAACUGUUGACUUAAUCACUUAGAGUCUCAGUGUCCUCAUCUGUAAAAUGGGGAGAAUAAUAGCAUUUCCCAAGAGGGUGGUGGGGAAAGUUAAAUAAUAAAGAAAAAGUGACAGAGGUCUGAUGAGACUUUGGUCAAUGCCAGUUCUUUUUUCCUUCUUGACUGUGCUGUCCAAGAUGGUGGCCAUCAGCCACACGUGGCUCCUGAGCACGUAAAAUAUGGCUACUUGCAAAUGAUAAGUGCUGUAAGUGUAAAACACAUAUCAGAUUUCAAAGACCUUUUCUUUUUCUUUUUCUUUUUUUUAAAGAUAUUAUUUAUUUAUUUGACAGAGAGAGCAAGAGAGCACAGCAGGGUGAGCAGAGGAGGGAGAGGGGGAAGCAGGCUCCCCACUGAGC